rnacentral:rRNA from 1 species
GACGUAGGAGGCGAGCGUUAUCCGGAUUCACUGGGCGUAAAGCGCAUGUAGGCGGUUGGACAAGUCGUGUGUUAAAGCCCCUGGCUCAACUGGGGGAGGUCAUGCGAGACUGUGCGACUUGAGGGCAAGAGAGGGACGUGGAACUCCCGGUGUAGCGGUGGAAUGCGUAGAGAUCGGGAAGAGCACCAGUGGCGAAGGCGACGUGCUGGGUUGCACCUGACGCUGAGAUGCGAAAGUGUGGGGAGCAAACGGG